AGUCGAUGAUGAGAAACCUUUCAUUCAGUUCUGCUUCUGAAGCGCUGUGAUGACUCCUAAAUUACCAAACCAAGAUCUCUGAUAC
rfam:Nectria haematococca mpVI 77-13-4 chromosome 6 genomic scaffold NECHAsca_20_chr6_4_0, whole genome shotgun sequence.